rnacentral:rRNA from 1 species
UUGACCUCGGAUCAGUAGAUCCAA